rnacentral:rRNA from 1 species
GACGAACGCUGGCGGCGUGCUUAACACAUGCAAGUCGAAUGCUGAAGCUUGGUGCUUGCACUGGGUGGAUGAGUGGCGAACGGGUGAGUAAUACGUGAGUAACCUGCCCUUGACUCUGGGAUAAGCCUGGGAAACUGGGUCUAAUACUGGAUAUGACAUGCCACUGCAUGGUGGUGUGUGGAAAGGGUUUUACUGGUUUUGGAUGGGCUCACGGCCUAUCAGCUUGUUGGUGGGGUAAUGGCCUACCAAGGCGACGACGGGUAGCCGGCCUGAGAGGGUGCCCGCCCCCAUGGGGAUCGAAACCGGGCCCCGUCUCCUCGGGGGGGCAGCGGGGGGAAUUUUUGCACAAGGGGCGGAACCCUGAUGCAGCGCCGCCGCGGGGGGGAGGACGCCCUUGGGUUUGUAACCCUCUUCCGGCCGGAAAGAAGCGAGAGUGCCGUUACGUGCAAAAGAAGCCCCGGCUAACUACGU